UUACUGUGGUGUCUCUUCAUAACGCACCAGUCUUUUGCCUUUUACUUAAGACUUCCGUGGAGAGUGACUCCAACGAGUGUAGCCUAUUUUUUGACAGUCUUUGCUGUCUGGCCU
ensembl:snRNA U5 U5 spliceosomal RNA